rnacentral:lncRNA from 1 species
CGGGCGGAGGAGGAGCGGAGCGGGGCCGGAGAGCCCGACGCGGCCGGGCCAUUGUCUGGGCGGCCACACAAAGCGGCCGGCCGCGCUGCGCGCCCACCCCGGCCCGGCCCCGCGCAACGCCCUCCUCGGCCUGCCCGGGGGGGGGGGGGGGGGGGGGGGGGGAAACUGAGGCCCGGAGUGGCCGUGAGCCCUGACGCGGGAGCACGGCUCGGCUCCUCCGUCGGGGGAGUUUUGUUUUCUGAAUCCCCCCCAGAGCGCCCCCCUCUUUCACACCUAGGGGAAAGCAGAGGCUGGAGGGCACCCCACUCCCUCCCCGCGGGCGGACCCCCGGGCCAGCGGGAAGGGCUGGGGGCUCAUGCUUCCGCUGCACGUGGGACCUGACUUCGGGGACCCUCUUUAAGGCCUGCGCACGAAGAUUCCCGUUUACCCACCACUGAAGCUGAGGGACGUUGGCUCCAGGUCCUGCAGCAGUGCAGCACCAAGGUCACCAGACUCACAGCAGAGGUUGAUGGUCAGACACCCCCAGGGAAGCCUCCAGACGACCACCCACCUUGAACUCCUGCGUUCCGGGAACUUUACCUCCCUGCUUCUCCCAGUGUGCAGGGAAAUCGAUGCCAGUGCAUCACAGGAGCUGAGAAGGGUAAGACCACGGAUCCUAGCCUGGGGUGCCGAUCCCAACCUCUGCCCGGCUCUGAAGAUGGCAGGCCCCGCCCUGGCUCCUCUCCACCAGGCCCUUCUCCAGACGCCACCCCUCAAGCAAGAAGAUAAUGUGUUUUAUCGGGGGCAUUUAUUACCCACAAUUGCUACAUAAAUCUCCCUGCAUACACAUACAUAUACAUAAGAGGCGGAUAAAUAUGCGGGGCCGUGCCCACUCUCCCUGAUGGAGUCGACUUGCCCCGUAAAGAUAACGGGAAAUGAUUCAUAAUAUUUAUUUGACAGACAUGAUAUGAACCGUAAUAGCCUGUUGGGAUUAAAAAUAUCCGUACGUCUCUGUCACCCACCAAUGUGGUUUAAAUAUUAUAUAUGUGGCCACUGCAGCAAUAGGGAGAUGGGAACUGUUAUUGAUAGCGGCCAUAAAGAGAAGCCGUUUUGCAUUGAAGAAUGGG